UUGAACGCUGGCGGCAUGCCUAACACAUGCAAGUCGAACGGCAGCACAGUAGAGCUUGCUCUAUGGGUGGCGAAGUGGCGGACGGGUGAGUAAUGCAUCGGGAUCUACCCAAACGUGGGGGAUAACGUAGGGAAACUUACGCUAAUACCGCAUACGUCCUAUGGGAGAAGAAAGCGGGGGGAUCGCAAGACCUCGCGCGGUUGGACGAACCGAUGUGCGAUUAGCUAGUUGGUAGGGUAAUGGCCUACCAAGGCGACGAUCGCUAGCUGGUCCGAGAGGAUGAUCAGCCACACUGGAACUGAGACACGGUCCAGACUCCUACGGGAGGGCAGCAGUGGGGAAUAUUGGACAAUGGGCGCAAGCCUGAUCCAGCAAUGCCGCGUGUGUGAAGAAGGCCUUCGGGUUUGUAAAGCACUUUUAUCAGGAGCGAAAUGCCAUUGGUUAAUACCCGGUGGAGCUGACGGUACCUGAGUGAAUAAGCACCGGCUAACUUCGUGCCAGCAGCCGCGGUUAAUACGAAGGGUGCAAGCGUUAAUCGGAAUUACUGGGCGUAAAGCGUGCGUAGGCGGUGACUUAAGUCUGGCUGUGUAAAUCCCCGGGCUCAACCUGGGAAUGGCAGUGGAUACUGGGUCGCUAGAGUGUGAUAGAGGAUGGUGGAAUUCCCGGUGUAGCGGUGUGUAAUGGCGCUAGAGAUCGGGAGGAACAUAAGUGGCGAAGGCGGCCAUCUGGAUCAACACUGACGCUGAGGCACGAAAGCGUGGGGGAGCAAACAGGAUUAGAUACCCUGGUAAGUCCACGCCCUAAACGAUGCGAACUGGAUGUUGGUCUCAACUCGGAGAUCAGUGUCGAAGCUAACGCGUUAAGUUCGCCGCCUGGGGAAGUACGGUCGCCAAGACUGAAACUCAAAGGAAUUGACGGGGCCCGCACAAGCGGUGGAGUAUGUGGUUUAAUUCGAUGCAACGCGAAGAACCUUACCUGGCCCUUGACAUGUCUGGAAUCCUGCAGAGAUGCGGGAGUGCCUUCGGGAAUCAGCACACAGGUGCUGCAUGGCUGUCGUCAGCUCGUGUCGUGAGAUGGUUGUGGGUUAAGUCCCCCGCAAACGAGCGCAACCCUUGUCCUUAGUUUGCCAGCACGUAAUGGUGGGAACUCUAAGGAGACUGCCGGUGAACAAACCGGAGGAAGGUGGGGAUGACGUCAAGUCAUCAUGGCCCUUACGGCCAGGGCUGCACACGUACUACAAUGGUUCGGUACAGAGGGUUGCAAUACCGCGAGGUGGAGCCAAUCCCAGAAAGCCGAUCCCAGUCCGGAUCGAAGUCUGCAAACUCGACUUCGUGAAGUCGGAAUCGCUAGUAAUCGCAGAUCAGCUAUGCUGCGGUGAAUACGUUCCCGGGCCUUGUACACACCGCCCGUCACACCAUGGGAGUGAGUUUGCUCCAGAAGCCGUUAGUCUAACCGCAAGGGGGACGACGACCACGGAGUGGUUCAUGACUGGGGUG
rnacentral:rRNA from 1 species